UAUCUCUCAAGGUCUUCAAUUCUUCUUUCAGCCCUCUGUAAUUCAUCAUCUCGAUAAUUGAUGAUCUCCUGUGCUUUUCGAUGGGUCUUCUCAGAGAAGUCAAGCUCUUUGGCUAAUUCACCAUUAUUUCUCUCUACCUGAUCCAAUUGAUAAUUCAGCAAAUAAACCUCUUCCUUCAUUGCUGCAAGCUCCAUCGAUGAGGCAUAUGAAGUGGCACCAGUGAAGCUAGCCAAGUAGUGUCCCACCUGUGCAAAAAAAAUGCAAACAAGCAUCAAAAUAUUACACACUAGCAGAGAUCAACAAG
rnacentral:lncRNA from 1 species